rnacentral:rRNA from 1 species
UAAGACAGAGGGGGCAAGCGUUGUCCGGAGUUACUGGGCGUAAAGGGCGCGGAGGCGGUCUGCGGCGUCGGCGCUGAAAGCGCCCCCGCUUNAACGGGGCGAGGCGCGCCGAUACGCGCAGGCUGGAGGCAAGCAGAGGGCGGCGGAAUUCCGGGUGGAGCGGUGAAAUGCGUAGAGAUCCGGAGGAACGCCAGUGGGGAAGCCGGCCGCCUAGGCUUGACCUGACGCUGCGGCGCGACAGCGUGGGGAGCAAACCGGAUUAGAUACCCGGGUAGUCCACGCCGUAAACGGAUGCCGGCUCGGCGUGUGGCGCGCGCGAGCGCGCUGGGCGCCUUAGCUCACGCGGUAAGCCGGCCGCCUGGGGACUACGAGCGCAAGCUUA